UAUAAAAACGCGCAAACGCACAUUGUUCGCCCUUUUGGUCUCUUCUCGUCCGGUGUGGUUCAUUGUCGCUAGUUUCGCUGAACUUGCGAAGUGCAUUGAUACGUGAGAAGGCUGCCGUGGUUUUUGAUGGAAGGCCCUGCGUUAAAGGUGGACCUAGCGCUUUUGGGUCACAGUAUGAGUACAAAAAUUGUUCUGUUCAAGUCAUCCUGUGGUCUCCUUGUGUCCUUGGAAGGCUACUCGGAAGAUGCCAGAUCAAGAGGAUGACAAACCAGGAUCAUAGGUUGGCUUAAUAGUUCUGAACCCAUGUAGUUCUGAUGCAUGUCAAAACAAAUGAACUCACACGCUCACGGUUUCCUCCUCCGGGUAAAGGAAGAGAACUUGAGCAUCCGUGAAGGAUGUUUGUCUGCAUGGUGCGUGCACUCCCAGCUGAACUAGUGGACAGAUGUGGAUUUGUUACACACAGAUGUCUCUAAGUGAGCUGGUUGAGAUUCAUCUGAAGACAUGCCUAGCCAGUCUUCGUCUGUCAAAUGAUGACUUAGUUCACUGUCCAGUGAAUUUAUCAGAACUUGAUUCAGUGGCUGCAGAGACUCUGCUUCAGUAUACAUGAAUCCAGAGCUCGGUGAAAAGAGGACUUGGACUGGAUCUUUAUGUGAAGAUGGAAAGCAUUUAUUGCUUGAUGUUUAAGAGCUGAUGUUGCUGUAAUUUGAAUAAACUAUUGAC